ACGGGUGAGUAAUGCUUGGGAAUCUGGCUUAUGGAGGGGGAUAACGACGGGAAACUGUCGCUAAUACCGCGUAGAGUCGAGAGACGAAAGUGCGGGACCGCAAGGCCGCAUGCCAUAGGAUGAGCCCAAGUGGGAUUAGGUAGUUGGUGAGGUAAUGGCCUACCAAGCCGACGAUCUCUAGCUGGUCUGAGAGGAUGACCAGCCACACCGGGACUGAGACACGGCCCGGACUCCUACGGGAGGCAGCAGUGGGGAAUAUUGCGCAAUGGGGGCAACCCUGACGCAGCCAUGCCGCGUGAAUGAAGAAGGCCUUCGGGUUGUAAAGUUCUUUCGGUAUUGAGGAAGGUUGGUGUGUUAAUAGCACAUCAAAUUGACGUUAAAUACAGAAGAAGCACCGGCUAACUCCGUGCCAGCAGCCGCGGUAAUACGGAGGGUGCGAGCGUUAAUCGGAAUAACUGGGCGUAAAGGGCACGCAGGCGGGCUCUUAAGUGAGGUGUGAAAUCCCCGGGCUUAACCUGGGAAUUGCAUUUCAGACUGGGAGUCUAGAGUACUUUAGGGAGGGGUAGAAUUCCACGUGUAGCGGUGAAAUGCGUAGAGAUGUGGAGGAAUACCGAAGGCGAAGGCAGCCCCUUGGGAAUGUACUGACGCUCAUGUGCGAAAGCGUGGGGAGCAAACAGGAUUAGAUACCCU
rnacentral:rRNA from 1 species